GUGCUCUGGGUUUACCAUAUUUAAUUCUUGCCUUCCUUAAUGUCUGCCUCUAUCCCCAUCCCCAGAGUAUAAAGGCCAAAGAGCUGACCUGUGGUUCUUUCAGGGACCUAUUUGUGCCUUCAUAUCUCCAACUACGAAAUGGGUAAAUGGACAUGGUGCUAGCAGGAUGACCUCAUAACUGGGGCAGGGGUUGGGAGGAAGCCCUUAGACCUGUGCCCACUGCAGAUUAAACACUCAGUAAACUCCCUUCCUUGGAAACAGCCCAAAUGUCCAUCAGCUGAUGAAGGAUCAACAAAAUGUGGUCCACCCACACAAUGGAAUAUGAUGCAGCCACAAAAAGGCAUGAAGCAGGCCGGGCACAGUGGCUCAUGCCUGUAAUCCC
rnacentral:lncRNA from 1 species